GGGGGGUUAGUCUAGUCUGGUCCAGGAUCCAAGCUCGGGGAGCUUGUGGCAGGAGUUCAAAUCUCCUACCUCCCA
rnacentral:tRNA from 1 species